rnacentral:rRNA from 1 species
UACGUAGGGAGCAAGCGUUAUCCGGAAUUAUUGGGUGUAAAGGGUGCGUAGACGGGAUAACAAGUUAGUUGUGAAAUCCUCUGGCUCAACUAGAGAAUUGCAACUAAAACUAUUAUUCUUGAGUGCAGGAGAGGAAAGCGGAAUUCCUAGUGUAGCGGUGAAAUGCGUAGAUAUUAGGAAGAACAUCGGUGGCGAAGGCGACUUUCUGGACUGUAACUGACGUUGAGGCACGAAAGCGUGGGGAUCAAAC